rnacentral:rRNA from 1 species
AGCGAACGCUGGCGGCAGGCCUAACACCUGCAAGUCGAACGAAGUCUUCGGACUUAGUGGCGGACGGGUGAGUAACACGUGGGAACGCACCUUUUGGUUCGGAACAACUCAGGGAAACUUGAGCUAAUACCGGAUGAGCCCUUAGGGGGAAAGAUUUAUCGCCGAAAGAGCGGCCCGCGUUAGAUUAGCUAGUUGGUGAGGUAAAGGCUCACCAAGGCUACGAUCUAUAGCUGGUCUGAGAGGAUGAUCAGCCACACUGGGACUGAGACACGGCCCAGACUCCUACGGGAGGCAGCAGUGGGGAAUCUUGCGCAAUGGGCGAAAGCCUGACGCAGCCAUGCCGCGUGAAUGAUGAAGGUCUUAGGAUUGUAAAAUUCUUUUACCAGGGACGAUAAUGACGGUACCUGGAGAAAAAGCCCCGGCUAACUUCGUGCCAGCAGCCGCCGUAA